CUUCAAGAACACUUGAGAAAAAGGAAAGAAGGAGAAAUCUCCAAGGCCAUUUCGGCCAAGUGCAAAAAUUGCCAAGAAAAUUGACAAAAAUUUCUUCAAAAAUUAUUUUCUACCAAUUAAAGGAUUCCUAGCAAGGUGGAGUGGUCUUUGGAGCAAGAAAAAUCCAUAUUCUAGCAAGUUGCAAGUCUUAGCUAAGUGAAAGAUCAAGGAAGAAGAUUUCGGCGGAUUUGCAACUUGAAUUUGGAAUAGCAAAAGAAGCGGAAAGAGGUCAGCAGACAGGCGGAUUUGGUUCCUAGGAGCCCUACCAGCAAUACUUGUCAGCGCUCCAGUUGUCCCGGAGCCUCAGUUUCUUGGUACUAUUUUGUGUAUAUAUUCGGGCACGGCAGUACUCGACCCUUUCUAUGUAUAUGUGUACUAUGUUUAGAGGCUCUUAGACAGAUAGGUACAGUUAGAUGUUUUGUAUUUUGGAUUGUUCGCGUCGUUGUAUAACGUGAUAGAAAAGUUUACCAGUCUAUGUUUAUGACGAUGCUACUAAUGUUAAUGUCCAGUAACGAAAAAAAAAUAUAUAUGGAAUAGUUCCUACGGCCCGCUGAGAGGUAAAGGUAAAAGGAUAGAUAAGGGGUGCUCGGUACAAGUACCAGGUACUCGUCACGGCCCCUAGUUGGGUCGUGACAGUGAGGGUGUAUGUGGAAUUGAAGAAAGAGAACAACGGUUAGCGAUGUAUCCAUUGUGCAUAAAUACAACUGAUAAAAGCAAUGAUAAUUGUGUAUCUGGUGAAAGUUGUAUUCAAGGAGAGGUUUUGCAACUUGGUUACACAAAUCAAACGAAUGCUAUGGAAACAAGUCGGGACUGUAGACUUGACUUCAUCAAGUUGUGGCAAUGCCGUUGUUGUAUUCGAAAAUGACACCAAUAUGGUUAUAUCAGAUAAAAACCAAAAAGAGGUUGUUGUUGAUCAAGUCUACAAGGACAAAGAUACAUUAAAGGCUGUUAUGGCGAACUAUGCAAUUUCCAACAGAUUCAAUUUCUGUACCGAGAGGUCUAAUGCUAUAAGGUAAGUUUAAAAGGUCUGAACGAAUAUAUUUUAAUUUAAUGUGUUGAUCUGAUGUAUUUUAACUCAAUUUAUUUGUAUUCAUGUUUGUAUUUGAAGUUAUACACUAGUAUACGUAUCUGAAGAAUACGAUUGAAAAUUCAGGGUGUCAAGUGUUGGUAAAUCGGAAAUGUUC